GAUGAACGCUGGCGGCGUGCCUAAUACAUGCAAGUCGAACGAGAUCUUCGGAUCUAGUGGCGGACGGGUGAGUAACACGUUGGUACCUACCCGAAGUGGGGAAUAACUGCCCGAAAGGGUGGCUAAUACCGCAUAAUACCGUAAGGUUAAAGCAUUUAUGCGCUUCGGGAGGGGCCUGCGUCCCAUUAGCUAGUUGGUAGGUAAUUGCCUACAAGGCGACGAUGGGUAGCUGGAUCGAGAGGUUGACCAGCCACAC
rnacentral:rRNA from 1 species